GAUGAACGCUGGCGGCGUGCCUAAUACAUGCAAGUCGAGCGAACAGACGAGGAGCUUGCUCCUCUGACGUUAGCGGCGGACGGGUGAGUAACACGUGGAUAACCUACCUAUAAGACUGGGAUAACUUCGGGAAACCGGAGCUAAUACCGGAUAAUAUAUUGAACCGCAUGGUUCAAUAGUGAAAGACGGUUUUGCUGUCACUUAUAGAUGGAUCCGCGCCGCAUUAGCUAGUUGGUAAGGUAACGGCUUACCAAGGCAACGAUGCGUAGCCGACCUGAGAGGGUGAUCGGCCACCCUGGAACUUAGACACGGUCCAGACUCCUACGGGAGGCAGCAGUAGGGAAUCUUCCGCAAUGGGCGAAAGCUUGACGGAGCAACGCCGCGUGAGUGAUGUAGGUCUUCGGAUCGUAAAACUCUGUUAUUAGGGAAGAACAAAUGUGUAAGUAACUAUGCACGUCUUGACGGUACCUAAUCAGAAAGCCACGGCUAACUACGUG
rnacentral:rRNA from 1 species